rnacentral:tRNA from 1 species
UAGCUCAGUGGUAGAGUGUGCGCUUAGCAUGCACGAGGUCCUGGGUUCAAUCCCCAG